rnacentral:tRNA from 1 species
CGAGGCGUAGCGCAGUUUGGUAGCGCACUGCGUUCGGGACGCAGGGGUCGGAGGUUCAAAUCCUCUCGCCUCGA